GACAGAGGAUGCAAGCGUUAUCCGGAAUGAUUGGGCGUAAAGCGUCUGUAGGUGGCUUUUUAAGUCCGCCGUCAAAUCCCAGGGCUCAACCCUGGACAGGCGGUGGAGACUACCAAGCUGGAGUACGGUAGGGGCAGAGGGAAUUUCCAAUGGAGCGGUGAAAUGCGUAGAGGUCGGAAAGAACACCAACGGCGAAAGCACUCUACUGGGCCGACACUGACACUAAGAGACGAAAGCUAGGGGAGCGAAUGGG
rnacentral:rRNA from 1 species